AUCCGGCUGACGAGUUGCAAAUAAGACGUAACGCACGUUCUUGAU
rnacentral:hammerhead_ribozyme from 1 species